ACCAAAGGCCUGGCUACAAGUAGCUGAGCUGCACAUCCGGGACGUGCGAGGCCAUGACGCCAGCAUCUACGUGUGCAGAGUGGAGGUGCUGGGCCUUGGUGUCGGGACAGGGAAUGGGACUCGGCUGGUGGUGGAGAAAGAACAUCCUCAGCUAGGGGCUGGUACAGUCCUCCUCCUUCGGGCUGGAUUCUAUGCUGUCAGCUUUCUCUCUGUGGCCGUGGGCAGCACCGUCUAUUACCAGGGCAAAUAUGCCAAAUCUACUCUCUCCGGAUUCCCCCAACUCUGAACUUUCCCUUCCACCAGGUCUGACCUGGAAAGGUCCAAGAAGGCAGCUGCCGGCUGUGGUCCCAGCGCCCCUCCCACCACCAUGUGGGAGCUCAGCACACCUGCUUCCCCCAGUCCCAGGAGGCUGAGCCUGAUUGUCCUGAGAAAUGGGAAGGAUCAGAUAUGACUCCUCCUUGGCAACUGCCCUUUCCUGCCAGGCCCACACAUACCCUCUUCUGGCUGUUAGGGGAGCUUGGGUCCCUGAACACUGUCAUUCACCCAAUAAAUUACUAUUUGACCCCAGAGUGGGUGGAAGGGUGA
rnacentral:sRNA from 1 species